rnacentral:rRNA from 1 species
CAGUUCGGAUUGUAGUCUGCAACCCGACUACAUGAAGCUGGAAUCGCUAGUAAUCGCGAAUCAGAAUGUCGCGGUGAAUACGUUCCCGGGUCUUGUACACACCGCCCGUCACACCAUGGGAGUUGGAAAUGCCCGAAGUCAGUGACCCAACCGCAAGGAGGGAGCUGCCGAAGGCAGGUCCGGUAACUGGGGUGAAGUCGUAACAAGGUAGC